rnacentral:rRNA from 1 species
CCCUUAGAUGUUCUGGGCCGCACGCGUGCUACACUGAGUAAAUCAAUGGGUAAGGGAACACGAAAGUGCAACCUAAUCUUCAAAUUUGCUCGUGAUGGGGAUCGACGGUUGCAAUUUUCCGUCGUGAACGAGGAAUACCUUGUAGGCGCGUGUCAUCAUCACGCGCCGAAUACGUCCCUGCCCUUUGUACACACCGCCCGUCGCUCCUACCGAUUGAAUGGUCCGGUGAAGCGUUUGGACUAUGGUUUUCUGAUGGUCCGCCGUUGGAUUACCGUGGGAAGUUCGUUAAACCUUAUCAUUUAGAGGAAGGAGAAGUCGUAACA